rnacentral:rRNA from 1 species
GUCUGAUUAGCUAGUUGGCGGGGUAACGGCCCACCAAGGCGACGAUCAGUAGCUGGUCUGAGAGGACGAUCAGCCACACCGGAACUGAGACACGGUCCGGACUCCUACGGGAGGCAGCAGUGGGGAAUACUGGACAAUGGGCGAAAGCCUGAUCCAGCGACGCCGCGUGGGUGAAGAAGGCCUUCGGGUUGUAAAGCCCUUUAAGCCGGGACGAAAAAGCUGCACCUAAUACGUCGCGGCCUUGACGGUACCGGAAGAAUAAGCACCGGCUAACUCUGUGCCAGCAGCCACGGUAAUACAGAGGGUGCAAGCGUUAAUCGGAUUUACUGGGCGUAAAGCGUGAGUAGGUGGCUCGCUAAGUCGGUUGUGAAAGCCCUGGGCUCAACCUGGGAAUUGCAGUCGAUACUGGCAAGCUAGAGUUCGGUAGAGGGUGGCGGAAUUCCCGGUGUAGCGGUGAAAUGCGUAGAUAUCGGGAGGAACAUCGAUGGCGAAGGCAACCACCUGG